rnacentral:tRNA from 2 species
UCCCCUGUAGCUCAACUGGCAGAGCAGCCGACUGUUAAUCGGCAGGUUCCUGGUUCGAGCCCAGGUGGGGGAG